UGGGGAAUAUUGCGCAAUGGGGGAAACCCUGACGCAGCAACGCCGCGUGAGUGAUGAAGGCUUUCGAGUCGUAAAACUCUGUCUUUGGGGACGAAUAAUGACGGUACCCAAGGAGGAAGCCCCGGCUAACUACGUGCCAGCAGCCGCGGUAAUACGCAGGGGGCAAGCGUUGUCCGGAAUCACUGGGCGUAAAGGGCGCGUAGGCGGUUUGUUAAGUCAGGUGUGAAAGUUUUCAGCUUAACUGGAAAAGUGCACUUGAAACUAACUUACUUGAGUACUAGAGAGGUAAGCGGAAUUCCUAGUGUAGCGGUGAAAUGCGUAGAUAUUAGGAAGAACACCGGUGGCGAAGGCGGCUUACUGGACAGAGACUGACGCUGAGGCGCGAAAGCGUGGGGAGCGAACAG
rnacentral:rRNA from 1 species